rnacentral:snoRNA from 1 species
CGUGCUCUCUGGCCCUUGGCUCCUUGUUGGGGGUGGGGACCACAGAUGAGAUCUGAAAUCUUAGUGGGAGUACCUGAGCCAUGACUCCCCACUGUAAGGCCAGAUCAAUAGCAUUGGUGGCCUUGCCUUCAUUUCUGCUGCUGCCCCUAGUUCCUGGCAGCAGCCUGCAGGGAGGCCCACAGGUGGGGUCCAAGGUAGGGCUGGGCACAAGCCACCUGAGCGCAACCUUGGAUCUGACAGCCCAGAGGAGGACUGGAGCAAGGGAGUGUGGUAAGGACGGGGCCAGGGAUUGAGACCUGCCCUUGCGUGAACCUUAACCCUCCUCACCUUGGAGAAGCACUGAGCAAGAACCCUGGCUACAUCAAACUUCGCAAGAUUCGAGCAGCCCAGAAUAUCUCCAAGACGAUCGCCACAUCACAGAAUCGUAUCUAUCUCACGGCUGACAACCUUGUGCUGAACCUACAGGAUGAAAGUUUCACCAGAGGAAGUGACAGCCUCAUCAAGGGUAAGAAAUGAGCCUAGUCACCAAGAACUCCACCCCCAGAGGAAGUGGAUCUGCUUCUCCAGUUUUUGAGGAGCCAGCCAGGGGUCCAGCACAGCCCUACCCCGCCCCAAUAUCAUGCGAUGGUCCCCCACACUGGUUCCCUGAACCCCUCUUGGAUUAAGGAAGACUGAAGACUAGCCCCUUUUCUGGGGAAUUACUUUCCUCCUCCCUGUGUUAACUGGGGCUGUUGGGACAGUGCGUGAUUUCUCAGUGAUUUCCUACAGUGUUGUUCCCUCCCUCAAGGCUGGGAGGAGAUAACCACCAACCCAGGAAUUCUCAAUAAAUUUUUAUUACUUAACCCGAAGUCAAGGCUUCACGUGUUCAUGAAC